GUAUUAAAACCUCUUUAAUUAGAAAACAGUGCAUGAUUCACAAAAAACAACAACAACAAUUAUAACAACAGCAAUAGCAUCUCUCUCUAUACCGGGUUUGGGGGGAUGGGAAGGGGAGAGAGGGAGGGAGAGAAGAGGGGAAGGAGGAAUAGAGAAAGGGAGUGAGGAAGGGAGAGGUAGAGAAAGGAAGGGAAGGGAAAAGUGAGUGAGUGAGUGUGUGGGUAAGUGAAUGAGGGAGAUAAUGAGUGAGUGAGGAAGUGAAGGAUGAGAGGAAAGAGUGAAUGAAAUAAAGGAGGAAGGAGAGAUAGAGAAAGGGAGUGAGGAAGGGAGAGGUAGAGAAAGGAAGGGAAGGGAAAAGUGUGUGAGUGAAUGAGUGAGUGAAAGAGGGAGAUAAUGAGUGAGUGAGGAAGUGAAAGAUGAGAGGAGAGAGAGAAUGAAAGAAAGGAGGAAGGAGUAAAAGAAUAAAGAGAAAAAUAGCAAACUGAUUAAGCGAAUGAGUAAAUGGAGUAGUGAAUGAAUGAAGGAAGGAAGAAAGAAACGUAAGAAAGAAACAGAAGACUGACUGAAUGACUGAAAUGCUAUGUAAAACGAAAGAAGAGAAUGAAAGAAUGAAUGAAUGAAAGAUAAACUAUAAAGAAGGAAUGCAGGAAUAAAUAUACAAAACGAAAGGAGAAUGAAAAAAAAUUGAAUGCAUGAAUAUAAGAAAUAAAUAAAAAUAAAGAAAGAAUGCAGAAAUUAAUCGAGGAAGAAGUAAGCAUAAAGAUAAUAAAGGAAGGAAGAACACACAUACAAGAAUAAAUGCGGAAAAAUACAACUACAACCUUAUCCACGUUAACUUCGAGAGCAAGCCCCGCCCACAAGAACCCGGCAUCCACCAAUAAGAUCAUACACCUCCCAGGCUCCUCCAAUCACGGGCAGCCUGAGUCGGGGAGGGGGCGUGUCUAACUUGAGGAUUAGCCAAUGAGGAACACUUAAUAAGGAAAAGGAGGAGGAGCUUAUUCGUGUGAUAUAGAGAAAGGGGCGUGGCUAGCUUCUGAACUAACCAAUGAUAUAAAAGAACAGAAUGUGGGAGGAGCUUAAUAGGAAAAGGGGGUGGAGCCUAAGACCGAAGCUAACGUAAAUGCACUAUAAAUGCCAGUUACUCACAAUACAACGAGUCCGAGGUUCAUAUUUUAACACCGAGCAUCCGAUAUCAAAAUUAUAAGUUGUCGUAAAUGCAUAACUUGGGUAAAAAAUGCACUGGUUUUGAUUCUUGGUGAUAUAAGUAGUGGAGUAUAACACUAUGAAGGAGGCUUGUAUGGUGUUGAUAUGCGUGAGUGGUCAGUGUUCUCUAAAGCACUUCUGUUCCUUCCCUCCCUCCUGAAAAAGCCCUAAAACAAAGACCUACAAUUCCUUCUUUUCUUUUUUUCUCGUUGUUUGUUCUUCCUUUCUUCCCUCUUCCUUCUCCUCCUCCCUCUCUUCCCACCCUAAAUAAACUAUCUCCUUUUUCAUUUUCUGUUCUGCCUCGCUUCCCUCUUCCUUCUCCUCCUUCCUCCCUUUCCUCCCUAACUAAACAAUCUCCUUUUUCAUUCACUCUUCUUCCUUGCUGUAGUCUUCCUUCUCCUCCCUUACUUCCUUACUUAACUCUUUCUCCUCUCAUUCCACCUUAACUAAAUUAUCUCCUUCUUCAUUUCCCGUUCUUCUUUGCCUCACUCUUCCUCCUCUUCUUCCUUCCUCUCUUUCCACCUCAGCUAAAUUAUCUCCUUCAUUUCCCGUUCUUCCUUGCUUUACUCUUCCUCCUCCUCUUCCUUCCUAUCUUUCUACCUUAACUAAACUAUUUCCUUCUCAUUUCCUAGUCUCUUUUUCUACACUCUUCCUCCUCCCUUUCCACCCUAACUAAAUUAUCUCCUUUUUCCUUGUUCUUCCUCCUCUCCUCUCUUCCUCCCAUACCCUCUACACUGAACUACCUCCAUUCCCCUAUAUCUCCCAUACAGUCAACCAAAUACACCGCUCUAUACGUAAUAUAUAAGUUCUCUCCUAUCUAUCUAUAUACAUUUACUUAAGUCUUCUGGAGAAUAAAAAUAUCAUGUGAAAUAAUUAUUGGUAUCUAGACUAAGGUGGCGUAGCUGCUCUAUAGUGUGUGUGUGUGUGUGUGUGUGUAAAUGCAUUAAUAUUAGGAUGACCUUCACCUUUUUCGUGCCCUAAGAAACAACAACCGUGGUAAACAACAUCUCUCUCUCUCUCUCUCUCUCUCUCUCUCUCUCUCUCUCUCUCUCUCUCUCUCUCUCUCUCUCUCUCUCUCUUAAUAUA